rnacentral:tRNA from 1 species
GAUCCCUUAGCUCAGUUGGUUAGAGCGUGGUGCUAAUAACGCCAAGGUCGCGAGUUCGACCCUCGUAGGGAUCA